UUAUUUUGGAUAUUCAUCGGAUAUUCAAAUUUCUCUAGUUCAAUACAUGGUCGGAUAUUUUUUAUCGGUAUUCGGGUUCGGGUUCGGAUUUUAGAACUGGAUAUUAUGUCCUCUCCUAGUUACAACUAUUAAUUCUAGUGUAGACAUCUAUACUAUUAAAGCAGAAUCUCAACGAGAAAAAAUUAAACUCAAACAAAUUAGGCUCAGUUUCGAGUAAGCUCAUGUGUUUUUAAAGCCAAUCAGAAUGGAUGUUCAACCAAUCCAAAGCAUCUUGAUAAUCAAUAAUCUCGAAGACAAAUAAAG
rnacentral:lncRNA from 1 species